UUAUAUUAUUAUUAUAUUAUAUUUGGCAUCUCACAUUUUGAUUUAUUCUAUAGAAAUAGAUUUUUCAUUGAAAGACAACUCCCAUGGCCAGGCCAAAGGGACAUGGAGUCCUAUGCCAUCAAAGGAACCAACAAGGUCCUAAGAGCGAUGAUUGUACCAAUAAGCUCCUGUAUGUGGCGUGCAUGGAGAAAAUCGAAACGGACAACCAAGGUGGUACUACAAACUAGAGCAGUCAACACAAAGAUUAUUUCUUCUCCUCACAGAUUUAAAGCUAGAUCGAGGUUAUCAAUAGCAAUGGCUGGAGGAAAAUAGUUUUAGUGGCGGGUAAGGUUCUUGGCAGCUUGGGGAAUGUGUAUUGAGGCGGAAUGGAUUCAAAGAGCCGAGAGUUUCGAUUCGAGGAUGUAGUUUUUGUUCUUAUGGUUUUUAUAUGUAUUUUUCCGCAUUUUAUUAUGUAAUCUCUUUUCAAAUUAUCAUUAUGUCAUGUUUUGGUUUUAAAACAAUGGGAUCCCAUAUCCUAACUUCAAUUUUAUGUAAGUUUAACUUUUCCUUUUUACAAGUUUUAAUAAAGUUAUGAUCUUUUCA